CCUACGGGUGGCAGCAGUGGGGAAUUUUGGACAAUGGGGGCAACCCUGAUCCAGCCAUGCCGCGUGCGGGAAGAAGGCCUUCGGGUUGUAAACCGCUUUUAGUCGGGAAGAAAAGGCGCGGGCUAACACUCCGUGUUCUUGACGGUACCGGCGGAAUAAGCACCGGCUAACUACGUGCCAGCAGCCGCGGUAAUACGUAGGGUGAGAGCGUUAAUCGGAAUGUGCGGGCGCGAUGCGUGAAGUCGGAUGUGAAAGCCCCGGGCUCAACCUGGGAAUGGCAUUGGAUACUGGCGGGCUGGAGUGUGGCAGAGGGGGGUGGAAUUCCGCGUGUAGCAGUGAAAUGCGUAGAGAUGCGGAGGAACACCGAUGGCGAAGGCAGCCCCCUGGGCUGACACUGACGCUCAGGCACGAAAGCGUGGGGAGCAAACAGGAUUAGAUACCCUUGUAGUC
rnacentral:rRNA from 1 species